UUGGCGGCGUGGAUAAGACAUGCAAGUCGAACGAGAGAAUUGCUAGCUUGCUAAUAAUUCUCUAGUGGCGCACGGGUGAGUAACACGUGAGUAACCUGCCCCCGAGAGCGGGAUAGCCCUGGGAAACUGGGAUUAAUACCGCAUAGUAUCGAAAGAUUAAAGCAGCAAUGCGCUUGGGGAUGGGCUCGCGGCCUAUUAGUUAGUUGGUGAGGUAACGGCUCACCAAGGCGAUGACGGGUAGCCGGUCUGAGAGGAUGUCCGGCCACACUGGAACUGAGACACGGUCCAGACACCUACGGGUGGCAGCAGUCGAGAAUCAUUCACAAUGGGGGAAACCCUGAUGGUGCGACGCCGCGUGGGGGAAUGAAGGUCUUCGGAUUGUAAACCCCUGUCAUGUGGGAGCAAAUUAAAAAGAUAGUACCACAAGAGGAAGAGACGGCUAACUCUGUGCCAGCAGCCGCGGUAAUACAGAGGUCUCAAGCGUUGUUCGGAAUCACUGGGCGUAAAGCGUGCGUAGGCUGUUUCGUAAGUCGUGUGUGAAAGGCGCGGGCUCAACCCGCGGACGGCACAUGAUACUGCGAGACUAGAGUAAUGGAGGGGGAACCGGAAUUCACGGUGUAGCAAAUCACUAGUGAAUUC
rnacentral:rRNA from 1 species